GAUACCUUCUUCUUCUGUGGCUCAACCAAGAAGUACAACUUCAUCUGUAGGAGGGGAAAAAGAAGUAAUCCGUCACCAUGAGUACGGACGCGGAGAUGCAAAUCUACGGCAAGGCUGCCUUGUACCUUCGUAAGCCUGAGAGGGAGAGGAUGGAGGCACAAGCAGCACCUUUUGAUUCAAAGAACGCCUGCUAUGUGACAGAUGUCAAGGAGCUGUACCUAAAGGGUUUGGUCACUGCCAGGGCCGAUGGCAAGUGUACUGUGACAGUCACCAAACCUGACGGGACUAAGGAGGAAGGAAAAGAGUUCAAAGAAGCAGACAUCUAUCAGAUGAAUCCCCCCUAAGUACGACAAGAUUGAGGACAUGGCCAUGAUGACCUACCUGAAUGAAGCCUCUGUGUUGUAUAACCUCAAAGAGCGUUAUGCAGCAUGGAUGAUCUAUACCUACUCUGGGCUCUUCUGUUGCCACUGGUGAACCCUACAAG